rnacentral:lncRNA from 1 species
UUUUCCCCUUUCUUCUCUCCAUGUAAAAAAACGCAGCCAAUGAACCAACCGAGAAAAACGAAAAGCAAACAGAUGCAACAUCAAUUGAGGCAUGACGACCUGUGAUCGCAUGGAUUGUAAAUAAAUCAAAAGUCUUGCUGUGAUCCGUGUUCUGGCCAUAUGCCACCACAACUUCUUGACCAUCAUACGCGUAGACUCGCACAAAAAACUUAGCUGAAGGGAUGUCUCUUUCAACUUUCCAAAUGAAUGAAUUGUUUGAAGGUACUGCAAGAUUCAGAUUCAGUUAG